rnacentral:lncRNA from 10 species
AUAAAACCCAUCUAAAAUGACCUUCUGGGCUACUGACUGCUCACUAUCCCUGCGUGUCAACUCUUUAGCUGUGCACAAUUAUGCAAGAACAGCCCUCCUCACUUCCCUGAAAAGACCUGAAUGAAGCCAGGGUCUCAGGUUUGAGGUCAUAGAUCUGGUUCUGGAGGACAGAAGUUGAAGAUCAGAAUGCCAGCAUGGUCGAGCUCUAGGAGCUAUGAAAUAUCUGAGAUGAGCAAGUGAUUCACAAGGAGACAGAAGCAGUAUGACCUUUACCCUGUGACCCGGUUCAAUUAUUUCAGGCUCUCAUUAACCAGGCGAGCUCCUCUUUCUCUCAGAGCUGCAAACAAGGAAACUGAAUGUCACACCAGGUGGCCAGCAUUUCUGUGAAGGGCAGAAACCGGGGCAGCCAAACAGCUGGCAGAGGCCAGCUAGACAAAGACUCCCUUUUCUUACAGCUGGAAUGAGGGGUGGGGAGAUUUCAUGGUGUCCUGUACAGGUUGGAUGUUAAUCUGAUGUGGUGCUCUUGGAGAAGCUUGCCUGAGUCAGGUGCUUUCUCAUCCUGUGGUGUGUGCUUCCCCUUCAAGCUGCAGAAGUCCCUGAAGAGGCCCUGCGUGGCUGCUGUGGCUGCCCUGAGACUCGUUCUGCCUCCUCUUCCCUCCACAGCUCUCCCAGCUUCUACCCACAGCUGUGCUCCAGGUAAACAACCAGGGGCCUCCAGGGGUAGAGAACCUAGCCAGACAGGUUCUGCUGCCUGUAGACUUGAUGUCCUUCCCCCACAACAUGCCAUGCUUGCCAGGCUGGAAGGGGGUCUCCAGAUACUUGGGAAAUCUGGGCCUGUAGCUGGCAUAUGGAGAAGAGGCCUGGAAAAGCACUACUCCUGUCCAUGAAGCCCCCAGAUGGAACCAGCUCUGAGAACAGGUUAAGGGAGUAUGGGGGACCUCUGCCACCUCCUAGCUGCUUCCAGGAGCCACUUCUUUCAAGAUGAGGCACUCUCCUGCUUGCCUGUUGCCAUUUGGCUGCAAAAGGCCAUUGCCAACAUUCAAUGAAGAAAAAGAAAGGGGCCUCACCUGUUUUCCCUGACACACCUGAGGCAGCUUCCCCAAAGCAGGCUUUGAAGUCCAGGCUCCCCAGGAAGCCUGGGGUGGAGACUCUGCCAGGCUAAAGGACCUAUCCCCAAAGGUGACACCCUCACCAGUCUCAUCCUGACAAUCUUGGAUUAUUUUUGCCCUGAAGUUUUGAAGUGGGAGACAGAGAGACAGCAGACAGUGUGUAUUAACCACCUUUCCAGAGAGCAUCAGCCCUCCAGACUGGGGCAGGUCCUGUUCAGAAACCCCAUCUUUGCCUUUGGAGAGACUGCCCCGAGCACACAGGCCCAGCAACCACCAUCUAUGGCCCCCAGGACCUAAUAACCUUCUACAUAGGGUUCAGUGCAUGUGAGCAGACACUGGACUUGAUUCCUGCCCAACAGUCCCUGCCAGAUACCCCAUGCCCACCUCAUUAAGAGAAUGAAGACACACGUUCACACCCAGUCCAUCAUGGUGAUAGAGUGGCUGGGGUCCUACUUUGCCACCCUUCAAUGCUGGUUCAUAAUCAGCUGUCUGACCACGUUCCUACCCUGAGGUAGGACUUUGGGACAUUGUCCACCAGGGUCACUGACCACUUUUAAAGUUCCAGAAACAGAGGGCCAGCUAUUCCCCUGGAAGUUUGCUACAUGGGAUAAGCCAAGGCUUGCCUUCAGGAACAGGUUUCCCAUCACAUAGCUGCCCAAGUCCCAGGGCAUCCAUACGUUCAUGUGAAUACUACUUGCCACAUCCACAGCCCAUGCCAACCCCUCCUGGAGCCAGCCGAAUGCUUGUUACUGGGCAUGUGAUAAGCCCAGACAGCUUCAGCCUUGCAGGACAACUAAGGGCAUCUAGCAGCAGUAGCCAGAGAGCCUAAAGAAAGAAGUUAGAGGUGAAACCAGAUGUUAUGAGAGUACUUUAGUAGGCAAAAUCGCAUACUAUAAAAAUGCUUUAAAAUACAUCAGGAGAAGAUGAGAAGACA